rnacentral:lncRNA from 1 species
UGUUGAUGCUCUAAUGCCAAUUGAUACUAUUUCCCAGUCGGUUACCCAGUCGGUUUCCAAAGGAGGAUAAGAAGAGAAAAUAGCCGAGGCGUAGAACUCAUUCUACCGCUGCAUUGCUUCUGAUUUCUAAACGGAUAGCGGCUUUGGAAAGAUACGGAAACAGAGAAGAGGAGAGGAGAGGGACACAGCAAAGAGGAGAAAAGAGAGCGAGAGAGAGGGAAACAGCGAAGGGAGGAAGAAAGCAGAGCCGAGUGUGUUUACCACACCUGUGAUGCUGCGUUGUUUCUAGCAACCAAGACGCGCUGCGGGGAUACCAAUGUAAUGGCCAAGUUAAACCGGAGAAGUGCGAGCGGCUUAAAGCAGAGAAUGAUGCCGUUACACCUGACUCCCUUUGUCCGCGGGAGAUACAGCACGGCCACGUUGGUGAUGUCCUGCUGGCUGUUCCUCGCUGGAUUUACCUUCAUUGGGAGAAGACACGCUGCUGUUUGAUAUUGACAGAUGCGGA